AUGAGUACCCAACAUGCUCCUGUUGCGCCUGAAGAAGCUAUGCAGACAGAAGGCGACAUUUUUGAUGACACAACGACGUUUGGUGAAACAGGUGGAACUAUUGCACAAGGGGUUGUGGGAAAUGUUAAUGACGAUGAAGCUUGGUCCCAACCAAGAGAGCCUUUCAUAGGAAUGAGGUUUGAUACUCUUGAGUGUGCUCAAGAACAGUACAAUGCCUAUGCUCUCCGACUUGGGUUUUCGAUGAACACUUCUAGGAAAAACACAAAAACUGGAAAGUUGGAGAAGCAACAAUUUGUUUGCAAUAAGUUUCGAAAACCAAAAGUUGAUGAUGGAGGUGCGGAAACUGUCCCUGCCCUAGAUGUGAUUGAGGACACUAAUGGAGAUGCAGAAGAUGGUGCAGACGAUGAGAUUGUCUUCCUUGAUGAUGAGUGCAGGAAAAAAAGAAGUCCAAGAAAAGAAAGCGAGAUACAAUAG
rnacentral:rRNA from 1 species